rnacentral:rRNA from 1 species
GGAGGGUGACGUAACAUGCGUCGCUCGGUAGAAAUGGCCAGCAGCCGCGGUAAUUCCAGCUCCAAUAGCGUAUAUUAAAGUUGUUGCAGUUAAAACGCUCGUAGUCGGAUUUCGAAGCGCGUUCACGGCGGCGGUUCUUGCCGUUUCUGUGGGGGUUUGCUUCUAUUUCUGGGACGCGGUGUGCGGGACUUGAUUGUCUCUGCGCAUCUGCGGGCCGGACGUUUACUGUGAAGAAAUUAGGGUGUUCAAAGCAGGCGUUUGCUAUGAAUACGUGAGCAUGGAAUAAUAGAAUAGGACUUGGGCUCUAUUUUGUUGGUUUCCGGUGACCAAGUAAUGAUUAAUAGGGACAGUUGGGGGCAUUCGUAUUUCAUUGUCAGAGGUGAAAUUCUUGGAUUGAUGGAAGACGAACAACUGCGAAAGCAUCUGCCAAGGAUGUUUUCAUUGAUCAAGAACGAAAGUUAGGGGAUCGAAGACGAUCAGA